AGCUCUCAACUGCAACUAGUUUUAUUCUAGUUGUAGCUUGGAUGUGGGGGAUUUUGCAGGCUUUAAAUAAUGAAGCCGGCUCUCCUAAAAUGUAUUAGUGGUCUCUGAGCAGAGAAAAUGGUGUGAUAAUUAUCUAUGCCUUAGUACUUUGCAUGAACUGCUUCUAACGACAUGAAAGUGUUUGACAAAU
rnacentral:misc_RNA from 1 species